rnacentral:rRNA from 1 species
UCCGUAGGCGGGCAAUUAAGUCAGAGGUGAAAUCCCACAGCUCAACUGUGGAACUGCCUUUGAUACUGGUUGUCUUGAGUUACAGUGAAGUAGAUAGAAUAUGUAGUGUAGCGGUGAAAUGCAUAGAUACUACAUAGAAUACCGAUUGCGAAGGCAGUCUACUAACUAUAUACUGACGCUAAUGGACGAAAGCGUGGGGAGCGAACAGGAUUAGAUACCCUGGUAGUCC